rnacentral:ncRNA from 1 species
UAUCUUCAGGGCGGGGUGUAAAUCCCCACCGGCGGUAAAGCCCGCGAGCUAAAUUUUAGCAUGAUUUGGUUAAAUUCCAAAGCCGACAGUUAUAGUCUGGAUGAAAGAAGAA